AUGGGAACUGUGUAUACGUUAAGGGCUAUGUUGAACUGUGAUGACCAGGGAAGCUGGUUCUAUUAACUACUACAGUGUCAUCCUUCGAUUUGACAUGCAUUUUUUAAUCAAAUUUUAAUUGAGCUAGCUGUCAAAUCCAUAGUAGCACAAACAAAAGAUCUCUGAAAGUAUCUAAUGAAAAUUCAGCUUUUAGUUUUCUUUGUGGUUUGAUGUUGCUCUUUAGUGUGCAAUAGAGGUUCAGCUGGAAUAAUUAGUAGUCAUUGUAUGUACCUACCAUCCAAAACAACUCCAUGAGCUGCUUCAUAAUAGAUCAACAGGUUCCAGUAACUAUGGUACCUUAACACGAGAACAACAAUGAUCAUAAAAUUUAAUUUUUAUAAUUACUGUGUAUUGCAAGAAUUUUGUUUAGAAUGUUUCCCCUGUAUCGGUAAAUGUUGUCGCUUUUCCUUUUCAUUUUGCUAACACGUAGCAGAGUCUUCUACAUUAAGCAACUGGACUCUUCAUAUAUUUUCUUGAUGUGUGAUUAGUUUUUCAAUUGUUAGUUUCUAUAAUAUUUAGUUCCUUUUCUCUUAUAUCAAUGAAGUAAAUGAGUGGCAUUAUGUUCAGUGUUGUAAGCUAUAUUUGAAGUGUUAAACACAUGGAAGUGAGACCAAAGCUAGGUUCAUUUAUUUGGAGCCACUCAUACUUUACCUUGAAUUUUCUGCUACCUAACGAUCCUCAGUUGGAGCCCAUUAUUCCACCCUAUUUCCAUGGAAAACAGGGGCAUGAUACAUUAGUUUUAGGCUUUCUCCAUUUGGUUAGUUAAAUUUUCUUCUUUUUGUGCUUUCUUCUGCCCAUGGAGUAUUUCAUACAUCACAAAGAUGUUUUGCUGAUAGUGGUAGCUUCGGAGUUCAAGCUUGGCUUUCAUUUUUUAUAACUAAUACCAUUAUCAUGUACUCAAUGAAAAUUGAAACUAUAAGAUGUUUGACAAAUUUUAGAGACAUUUUUGUUUGCCAUGCUGAUAGAUUUGAAAUAUUUACCAUGUCCCAAUACAUAAUGAUAUAUAGGUGGACAUCUAGAAAAGUCUGAUUCCAUUGAACGUCUAAACCUGACAUGAAUCAUUGUUUCAUCUUUUGGAGAUAGCAUUGUAGAGAGUAGAACAAUGUAUGAGACCAGAAGCAUAAAUUUUCUCCAUGUUAACUUGAUCUUCAGUGCAUUAUUAUCAAAUUCUGCGGUUUAUCUUUCUCUGCCAAACAAAGAUCCUUGCAAUUGGUCGUUAGAUGUCGUGUGUUUUCACUUUAUACUGUUUGAUGGAAUAAUCAGGGAUGCUAAAAUAUUGGUCUUGAACAUAAGGUUUGAAUUAUAUGUCCUAUUUUAUUUUUCAUUUCCUGUAGAUGCUGAUGUGGUUUCUUCUUUUGGACAUUAGACGAUGAUCCGAAUUUUUUUCAAGCAUUGCUAAUUCGUUCUCUCUUACAGUUGCAAAUAACAUCACAGGAGAAUUUCCUCAAGCUUUUGCAGGCUGACAAAUAUGACUGUGGCAAUGAUUACUGUGACGGUUCUGGAGCUUGGACGGGGUGCCACCACUGAUGGCCUUUAUGACUGGUGUUCUUUGGAGCUUUUGAUAUUUUGAUGGUCAAAGAAGCAAUGACCAUCAACAGAUGGCAAAUGUGGUUUGAUUUGCCAAAGUCAAAUACAGAGAAAAGCAAAAGAGAAACAAUCUUUACAACUUGCUAACAAAUCAGUGGUAAACCAGAUUUCCAGAAACAGAUCUUCAGGGGAGGAGGAGAAAGAAAGAAAGAUGAAAGGAAGAGGCUGUUCCAAAAAAAAAAAAAAGGAGAGAAGACACCAAGUUCCUCACGAAGUCAGAAAUGCACCACAAAAUCAGAGCUAAUGGAGACUACUAGGAUCUACGGACAAACCCAGAAAACUA